AGAGAACGCUGGCGGCAGGCCUAACACAUGCAAGUCGAACGGUGAACGAGGGAGCUUGCUCCCUCCGGAUCAGUGGCGAACGGGUGAGUAACACGUGAGCAAUCUGCCCCGAACUCUGGGAUAAGCGUUGGAAACGACGUCUAAUACCGGAUACGACGCGCGAAGGCAUCUUCUGCGCGUGGAAAGAAUUUCGGUUCGGGAUGAGCUCGCGGCCUAUCAGCUAGUUGGUGAGGUAACGGCUCACCAAGGCGACGACGGGUAGCCGGCCUGAGAGGGUGACCGGCCACACUGGGACUGAGACACGGCCCAGACUCCUACGGGAGGCAGCAGUGGGGAAUAUUGCACAAUGGGCGCAAGCCUGAUGCAGCAACGCCGCGUGAGGGACGACGGCCUUCGGGUUGUAAACCUCUUUUAGUAGGGAAGAAGCGAAAGUGACGGUACCUGCAGAAAAAGCACCGGCUAACUACGUGCCAGCAGCCGCCGUAACAC
rnacentral:rRNA from 1 species